UACGGGGGGGGCAAGCGUUGUUCGGAAUUACUGGGCGUAAAGGGCGCGUAGGCGGCCUUCUAAGUCGGACGUGAAAUCCCUCGGCUUAACCGAGGAACUGCGUCCGAUACUGAAAGGCUUGAAUCCGGGAGAGGGAUGUGGAAUUCCAGGUGUAGCGGUGAAAUGCGUAGAUAUCUGGAGGAACACCGGUGGCGAAGGCGGUUCUCUGGGCCUUACCUGACGCUGAGGAGCGAAAGCGUGGGGAGCGAACAGG
rnacentral:rRNA from 1 species